rnacentral:misc_RNA from 1 species
UACGGAGGGUCCAAGCGGUGUCCGGAAUCAUUGGGCGUAAAGGGUGUGCAGGCGGAAGUCUAAGUCGGAGGUGAAAAGUUGCCGCUUAACGGCAACCGUGCCUUCGAUACUGGAUUUCUUGAGUUCGGAAGAGGUUGGUGGAAUUCGUGGUGUAGCGGUGAAAUGCAUUGAUAUCACGAAGAACACCAGUGGCGAAGGCGGCCAACUGGUCCGAGACUGACGCUGAGACACGAGAGCGUGGGGAGCGAACAGG